rnacentral:rRNA from 1 species
GCAUUGUUGGAGAGUUUGAUCCUGGCUCAGGACGAACGCUGGCGGCGUGCUUAACACAUGCAAGUCGAGCGACAGUGCUCUUCGGGGCAUAUGGAGCGGCGAACGGGUGAGUAACACGUGGGCAACCUGCCCUCAGCUCUGGGACAACUCCGGGAAACCGGGGCUAAUACCGGAUAUGACAGUGUCCUGCAUGGGGUGCUGUGGAAAGUUUUUCGGCUGAGGAUGGGCCCGCGGCCUAUCAGCUUGUUGGUGGGGUGAUGGCCUACCAAGGCGACGACGGGUAGCCGGCCUGAGAGGGCGACCGGCCACACUGGGACUGAGACACGGCCCAGACUCCUACGGGAGGCAGCAGUGGGGAAUAUUGCGCAAUGGGCGGAAGCCUGACGCAGCGACGCCGCGUGAGGGAUGAAGGCCUUCGGGUUGUAAACCUCUUUCAGCAGGGACGAAGCGGAAGUGACGGUACCUGCAGAAGAAGCACCGGCCAACUACGUGCCAGCAGCCGCGGUAAUACGUAGGGUGCAAGCGUUGUCCGGAAUUAUUGGGCGUAAAGAGCUCGUAG